GACGAACGCUGGCGGCGUGCUUAACACAUGCAAGUCGAACGGAAAGGCCCUGCUUUUGUGGGGUGCUCGAGUGGCGAACGGGUGAGUAACACGUGAGUAACCUGCCCUUGACUUUGGGAUAACUUCAGGAAACUGGGGCUAAUACCGGAUAGGAGCUCCUGCUGCAUGGUGGGGGUUGGAAUGUUUCGGCGGUUGGGGAUGGACUCGCGGCUUAUCAGCUUGUUGGUGGGGUAGUGGCUUACCAAGGCGUUGACGGGUAGCCGGCCUGAGAGGGUGACCGGCCACAUUGGGACUGAGAUACGGCCCAGACUCCUACGGGAGGCAGCAGUGGGGAAUAUUGCACAAUGGGCGGAAGCCUGAUGCAGCAACGCCGCGUGCGGGAUGACGGCCUUCGGGUUGUAAACCGCUUUCGCCAGUGACGAAGCGUGAGUGACGGUAAUUGGUAAAGAAGCACCGGCUAACUACGUG
rnacentral:rRNA from 1 species